rnacentral:rRNA from 1 species
AUUGAACGCUGGCGGCAGGCUUAACACAUGCAAGUCGAGCGGGGGAAGGUAGCUUGCUACCGGACCUAGCGGCGGACGGGUGAGUAAUGCUUAGGAAUCUGCCUAUUAGUGGGGGACAACAUCUCGAAAGGGAUGCUAAUACCGCAUACGUCCUACGGGAGGAAGCAGGGGAUCUUCGGACCUUGCGCUAAUAGAUGAGCCUAAGUCGGAUUAGCUAGUUGGUGGGGUAAAGGCCGACCAAGGCGACGAUCUGUAGCGGGUCUGAGAGGAUGAUCCGCCACACUGGGACUGAGACACGGCCAAGACUCCUACGGGAGGCAGCAGUGGGGAAUAUUGGACAAUGGGGGGAACCCUGAUCCAGCCAUGCCGCGUGUGUGAAGAAGGCCUUAUGGUUGUAAAGCACUUUAAGCGAGGAGGAGGCUCUUUUGGUUAAUACCCAAGAUGAGUGGACGUUACUCGCAGAAUAAGCACCGGCUAACUCUGUGCCAGCCGCCGCAGUAA